UGUGAGCUCGAUGAGUAGGGCGGGACACGUGGUAUCCUGUCUGAAUAUGGGGGGACCAUCCUCCAAGGCUAAAUACUCCUGACUGACCGAUAGUGAACCAGUACCGUGAGGGAAAGGCGAAAAGAACCCCGGCGAGGGGAGUGAAAAAGAACCUGAAACCGUGUACGUACAAGCAGUGGGAGCACGCUUAGGCGUGUGACUGCGUACCUUUUGUAUAAUGGGUCAGCGACUUAUAUUCUGUAGCAAGGUUAACCGAAUAGGGGAGCCGAAGGGAAACCGAGUCUUAACUGGGCGUUAAGUUGCAGGGUAUAGACCCGAAACCCGGUGAUCUAGCCAUGGGCAGGUUGAAGGUUGGGUAACACUAACUGGAGGACCGAACCGACUAAUGUUGAAAAAUUAGCGGAUGACUUGUGGCUGGGGGUGAAAGGCCAAUCAAACCGGGAGAUAGCUGGUUCUCCCCGAAAG
rnacentral:rRNA from 1 species